ensembl:lncRNA
GCCUCACUUCUCCGAGACUGCAGCUCAAGAUGACCAGGGGAAUGAUGCCUGUGUGACUUCUGGUUCACCUCCUGUCCCUGACUCAGUUACUAAAGGUUUACGUGUUUCAUCAAGGCGGUGUGUGAAGAGACCAUGGUCUGAGGAGGAGAUAGGAGCGGUGAUGAAACAUAUGAAGCCUUUUAUUGAAAACGGUAUCACUGUCACCAACCAGCAGUGUCUGAAGUGCAAAGAAAAGGAACAACCUAUCUUGGAGACGAGAUCUAUUCAAAACAUUUGAGAUUUUGUGCGCAACAGAGGACUGGCCUUUAAAAAAAAAAAAAAAAAAAUGUUAAACACUAAAUGCACUUUUUGACAGUCUGAGCCUUUACCUUUCUGGGCCUGAUUUCAAGGUUAGUGUUCUCCAUUCAAAAAGUAUGUAGUUGACUUCACUGUGCUCACAGGCAGUGUUUUGUUUUGAUGUGUGGUUAGCCUGAGUCUUUUAAUGCCAGGAUUCACUUUUAUUUUCCUUCAAUAAUUGUUACAAUGCUGUCCUUUUAAGGAAUUGAUUAUUGAGUUGGUUAUAUUAAAUAUAAUUCAGUAAUUCAACAAAUGUGUUGUGUGUUGAUAUAAGUCUUAUGUAUAAGUCAUGGUGUCAGCCCGACUCACCCCUGGUGUGCAAAGGUGCUGUUUUAUUGGUAAGCCACUCAGUGCCAGUUUCUU